AUUCAGAGGAGAGAGGAAUUCUUGCAGGCAGGAAUAUGUGGGAGCUUUAUGGAGGAGGCUGCAUUUGAGAUGAGCCUGGGAGGACAAGUGUGACUUGCUAAGUACAGAGGGAUGGGAAGCAUCUUCCCACUGGGGUGGUGUAUGAAGAAAGUGUGGUGUGAGGCCUCUGUGUGGUGUGUUUGAGGGUGUAUGAGUAGUCCUUUCCCUCACUGCACUGUAGAAAGGUGAGAGAGCCUCUUGAAAAGCUGGGUUAGAGAGGCUGGAGGAAAUUGAAACAGUGGGAAUCAACCUUUGAAAGCUUUGGGUGAGUGAAAUGAAAAAUUAUGAUUUUCUGAAGACCAAUUAGGUGCUGUUUAUGUAGAAUGAAUUACAGUUCUGGAGAUGAGCGGUCGUAAGGAAAAUAAGAAAAGGAUGGCUAAUCUGGGUCUGAAAUGACUGAUCACUGGAGAAAGAUGAAGCUACUGGAAAUGGAACAAAAGACAUUCCGAAGACAUCAUCAAACUGGGUGCCAGAUAAGAAACAGGAAAAAAGAAGACAAUAACAAGAGGCUGUGAUUUGAGGGUGAGAAACAAAAGGGCAGCUCCAGGGAGAAGAGAGAUCUGGAAAUCUACGGGCUUCCUGCAGUGCUUGUGACUUACUGCUCCUGGCCUCAUAGAGUCUUCAGACUAACACAGCUGUCUUUUCAUGGCAGGACGUAUUUGAGAAUCUGUAACAUGCUGAAAUUGUACCUGCAGCAAGCCGUAAAUGACAACCUUGAGACCACAUUAUGGGCAUCACUGGCUAAGAAACAAAAGUUGCUUUGAGUCCUCAGCUCUCAGCGGUGCCGGGUUUCCUUUCCUUCAAGCUUGAGGAUUGGCAAAUCUUCAGCCUGACUCAGAGAGAUACUCUUCCCACAGCUAUUUCCCUUCAAAGCCCAUUCUUAGCAGAGCUUCUGUCAUCCGGAAUUACUCCUCUAAGAGCCAACAUGCUCUCUUUUCAGGUUUUCUUUUGCUUUUUCUCUACAUUGAGUUGACUCUGAAUCGGUGGCUUGAGAAAAAUACCAAAGUUCUUUUUUUGCUUUUGCUGCAACUGGAUUACGAACACUGACUUUCCACAUGAAAAGUGGCGGAGUGUGCAUGAGUCUGUGGGGAGGCUGUGCAGGGCGAGUCGCUGCUGGAGGUAGCAGAAAUGUGUACGUGAAGAGCAUCUGAGGAAGCGGUCUCCCCUUUUUCAGAAAGGGUUCUUUUUGUUGCCCUUCACCUGUCUGGAGGAGCCUGAAGAACCUAGGUCUCCUGGUGACCCCUAGGGAGAUGGGUGGGAGGCGACAGGCCACAUGGUUUGGCACAGAGUAGAAAAGAGGUCUCUGAUCCGUGACUGUCAUACACACCCACCUUUGAGCUUCAGAGUCCUGUGCCUUCGAAGGAAAACAACUUCGGAUUUGGAUGUCAACCGGAAGAGACAGCCAGGGACCCUUACUGUAUCUGCAUUAUUUUCUACUGACCAGUCCGUUUGCUGCUCUGGCCAAAGACAGUUGCAGCAUUUAGUGAGAUGGAUGCCUUAGAAUUUAGACAAUCCUGGUAACGUGAAAGAAAGCUUCUUAAAGUAAUCUGAUGAGACACACACCAAUACUCACAGAAAGUAGAAAGAACUUUUCCCCACCAUGUUUCAAGGUUGUCAUCUGCCAUUUGCUUAACUCUUAGAAAGAUACUCAGAUCUGGCUUGUGUACACGUCAAUCUGCUAUCAUUGCCUAUUUAUGGAAAAACAUUUAGUACAAGAGGAUUAAUAAGUGCUUGUUUUAAUUACAAGUUAAACCAUGCGAAUGUACACAGGAUUAAUAUCCAGAUUCUGAAUAGAAAGAGGAUAAACUAAAAUUAUUCACGUUAAUCCAAGGUUCUAACCCAGAGUUACCACAGCUAACGGAAUGUGUAUGGUAUUCCCGUAUUCCCAGUAAUUCAUCAGUGGGUAGAACCACCAUUAAAUUCACUGAUAGCUUUAGUUUUAAGCUACAAAUUAAAUUAAGUUCAAACUAAUUAGGCAUAGAGCCUUUUUAAAAAAUUCAUAUAUCUUUAUUGCUGAUAACUAAUUUUCUUUCUAAGGCUCGAAAUGAUAAUAUCAUUCAUUUACAAUGAUUUCCCUCCUUUAAAUAAAUGAUUUUCUAAUAUUACCUCAAACAACUUUAAUUUCUUAGCUUUUACACUCUUUUCCAAAUAAAUGCCCGGAAGUCCCCUGCUUCCCUAAACGUUGAGAAACAGCAAUGGAACCCCAGAAAACAUUCUCUUCGGCCAUCACAGGCCUAGCAUCUUACUGCUAAUCUUUCCUAAGAAAAAUAAGCCUUUCCUCUUGAAAGCCUGGGACUUUAAAAAUAACAACUACAAAGUGUUUUCAUGUGGUAAAUGCUCAUCACAAAUUAUUAUUUUUUCCCCGAAUCCUACCGCGUCUCUUCUUGAAGAACGAGAUAAGGGGAGAAGUUUGUACUGUGGUCCACCCAUGUAGGACACAAUCAUUUGCACUAAAUUAACACUUCCUGGGGAGAUUUUACUAAUUUUCUAUUAGAUGACUCAGUUACAAUGACCUUCACUGACAAAACAAACCUCUCAUGGGAAAUACAUCCCUGCUAGGCUGAAGCAGAAAGAAAACCUUAAUUCUGUUUAGAAUCUGGACCCUUUGACCUGUAAACUUUUAAGUUCCUUUCCUGGAGGGUUCUUUAAAGCUGUGGUGGCUGAGAUAGACUCCCAGUGCUAUGCGUGAGCACAAGCAGCUGCAGGUUGACUUUGAGAAGCUGGACUAUGAUUAUGCUACUACGAAGAAACCAAAACCAAAAUUUCCCUAUGGUACAUAAAGGAAGUUUUGUUUGAUAGAGCUCAAUGAUUCAAUCACUCCUGUCCGAAUUAUUCUGUUCUCUGAUGAACGAAGACCUUAUCAAGGAUCUCUUCACAAUUAAAAGCUCACUGAAAAUAAGAGAAGGGCUUAUAAUAUAUAAACACACACAUAUAUAGACUAUACAUACAUAGACACACACACACAAGACACUUAUACAACCUAUAGCCAUUUGUAAACAAAGUUGUGUUUUUGCACUUGUUAUCAGAGGCUGUGGAAUUCUAUACCAAGAGAUGAAAUGGUCUCCAACUGGUAAAAAGUCUAUUUAAUGGGCUUUGUGGAGCAGAGACAAAGAUCAUAUGUGAGAUAGUGUACGAGUAUAAUAAGAAUGCCUUCUGCUUACUUGGUCUGUUGAUAUUAUGGUCUAAUAGUUAUGUCAGCUUAAAUUGUGGAAAUAUCCACUUUCUCCUCUACUCCAGGGGCCUUAAACUGAGCCAGGGUCAAGUCGAGACUCCCUGGGAGGAGCUGUAAGCCCUUGUAGUAAAAAUAACAUGCAAGCCAGUACUCUAAACUAAAAACAAAAAAUAUAUAUAUUAAGCUAACCAACUCAAUUUGCUGAUUUUGUGCUCCAGGUUGCAGAGAUAAUUGUCCCAAUAUCAGGGAAACUAAGGGUUUUCUAGGUAUACUCAUGCAAAGAUGGUGCAGAUCCUUAACAUGGGCUCUCAUAGCUGCUUUUGGAACACCUAACUGAAUAAGGAAAAGACAAUUUAAACAAGACAUCAAAAUUUGAAGUCACAAAAGAAGCAAUCGAUUAGACGCAACCAAAAAUUUAAAUUCCAUUACAAAACCACCACAAUGUCAAAUACAAAAGGCAAACUGGAAACAGACAUUGAAACACGAUAGGGAACAAUUACUAUUUAUGAUAUGCAAAGAGGUAUUAAAACUCUGUGAUAAAACCUCCAAUGGAAGACGGGGCAAGUGAUUUGAGCAGGCAGAGAAAACAAGAAAUAAAAAUACACAACAUAAAUAUGCCAAACUUCACAAAAUUCAAGUCAAUACAAAUGACAUAUUUUUAGUUGAAAAGAUAAAUAUUAAUAUGUAAGUUUGAUCAUUCUUUACUGUGGGUUUGGGGAAACAGACCCUCUCAUAUACUCUUGACAGGUAUGUAAAUUAGUACAAGAGGUUAAAAUAGUAAUUUGAGGAAUAAUCUAAUAUAAUUUAAAAUUUUCAUAACUGAGCUGUUUUGGCUAUUCCAAUUCUAGGAAUGAUUCUAUAGAAACUCUUUGCACAACUGCAUAAAAGAGAAUAUAUAACUUGCAACAGUUGUUUCUAGUGGUACAAAAAUUAGAAUCAAUCCAAAUAUCCAUUAUUGUGCAAUAUAAAAAAUGUAUAUUGGGAUACCAUACUGUCAUUUACAUAAGAUACAGACCUUCAUAUAAUAACAUGAGAAGGACCAAAAAUAAAUUCUAAAAGACGACUUUCAGAGGAGUAAAGAUUCCAUUUUUCCUUAAGAAUAUAUUUUUAUACAUUGUACCUGUUCAUUUUGGAGAAAAUAUCCCCAGCUUCAAAUCAUGUCAUCUGCAGAUAGGUAUAAUAUUAUUUCCUCCUUUUCACUCUUCUGCCUUGUAUUUCUUUUCCUUACCUCAUUGAGCUGUGUAAGACUUUCAGUAUGAUGUUGAAGAGCAUGGUGAGAGAAUAUCCUUGCCCUGUUUCUGCUCUUUAGGGGAAAAUAUUUAGUCUUUUCUCAUGAAGUACAAUAUUAGCUAAAGUUUCAUGCUUUCUGAUAUUUUUGGUGGGUUUUAUUUUCUCUUGUUUUGGGUAGGUGUCCUUUAACAGACAUUCAUUUCUAUUUCCUGUCUGCUACCAGCUUUUUUUUCCUUUUUAAGUUGUAAAUAAAUGUGGAGUUUAAUCAAGGACUGUACUCUGUCAGUAUUUUCAUGUAUUCUUCCAGGGACCCCUGGGGUAUCAAAAUCUGACAAUGCUCAAAUCUCACAGUCAGCCCUGCAGAAUCUCAAACACAAAAAGUCGGAAAGUUGGCCCUCCGGGUCCUGGGUUCUGCAUCCCACAAAUCGUGUAUUUUCCAUGGAGAGCUCUGUAUUUUCCUCUAUCAAUUGAUAUGAUCAUAUGGUUGUCUUCUUUAGAUGGUUAAUACAGUAAAUUACAUUGAUUGAAUUUCUUUCUUUUUCUUUUUUGGUUCCUUUCAGUUUGAUUAAUUUUUUAAAUAUUAAACCAACUUUGCAUUCCUAUGAUAAA